rnacentral:rRNA from 1 species
CCUACGGGAGACUGCAGUAGGGAAUAUUGCUCAAUGGGGGUAACCCUGAAGCAGCAACGCCGCGUGGAGGAUGAAGGUUUUCUGAUUGUAAACUCCUUUUUUUAGAGAAGAUAAUGACGGUAUCUAACGAAUAAGCACCGUCUAACUCCGUGCCAGCAGCCGCGGUAAUACGGAGGGUGCAAGCGUUACUCGGAAUCACUGGGCGUAAAGGGCGCGUAGGCGGGUUAGGAAGUCAGAUGUGAAAUUCUAUGGCUUAACCAUAGAAUUGCAGUUGAAACUGUUAUUCUAGAGUAUGGGAGAGGUAGGUGGAAUGCUUGGUGUAGGGGUAAAAUGCGUAGAGAUCAAGAGGAAUACUGAUUGCGAAGGCGACCUGCUAGAACAUAACUGACGCUGAUGCGCGAAAGCGUGGGGAGCAAACAGGAUUAGAUACCCGGGUAGUC